AGGGGGCGUCCGGGCAGCUCCGAGGGCUUGCGCUCCGGCCCGCGGUUCGAGAUCGGGGUCCCGUGGCGCCGCUAGCGGGCUCGGGGCGGGGAGCGUCCUCUCCCCCGCCGGGGCCUUUCCCUCCCCCGCUGCGAGUGGGUGGAGAAACGGGGGUGCUUGGGCAGUGGGCGCGCCAAGUGGAGUGGCUGCUCCCCUAGGAUUUCAGCCGGGUCUGGGGAUCCUGGUUUCCUGGAGGUGCCCUGCCCGUGCCCCGCCGGCCUGGGGUGGGGGCAGGGGUCGCCAUCGCGGGGACGGUUCGGGAAAAGGCUGAGCUUGGAUUCGAAGACUUUUGGAGAGGGACCGGGACCCGGGCCAGCGGCGGGGGGCGGGGGAGGAGGGCCGCGAGGGCCCGCCCCCACCUCGCUCCGGGACUCGGAGUAAACAGGGACACCGCGGGGACACGCCGCAGCUUGUCCGCCCUCCCGGGGCCUGGGGAUGGAGCCCACCUUCGUCCCCGCCUCGCCCUGCCCGCCUGGCACCGAGCGCGGGAGGGGCAGGCGCUGGUUUGGAGGGAGGCUGUCCUUGCAGAAAGCGGAGCAACACUGAGGACUUGUCCCCUGAUGGCGGUGCGAGCCACGGAAGAAUCCAGAGGGAACCAGACCUUUUCCCCAAACCAGAGCUCCCUCUGGGCUGGGUUUGCUCCAGGCCACGGCCACCUACCUUUCGUCUUCCAGGCUAGAAAUCUCAGACGCUGCCAAUUCUGUCUAAUCUUGCAAGUCUGUGCUCAAGGUCUGUCAUUUUUUCCUUUGAAAUAAAGCUCCAAUUUCCUCUGCCAGAGAUUCCUCA